rnacentral:lncRNA from 1 species
CUCCAGGCAUUUGCUCUUGCUCCAGGAUUGACUGUAGGAAGAGCUCAGGGUAGAUGGAGACAGCAGCAGAAAGUGGUUUGAUGUGAGCUACUUUCCAUCUCCAAACAGAGGCCUCCAGCCUGCCCACCACCCCCAGCCGAGGCCUUUGAUCCUCCACAGCUCCAUAAAUGUUUAAUGCCACCGGCUGGGCAGGAAUGAGGCAGGUGCUGAAACAGUGAGACUGGGGAUAGGACUUAAGAUGUACAAUGUUGGCUAGAUUAUUUUCACAUAGGAGCUCCGGGAUGGAUGGGAGGAGGCUUUCCCCCAUCAUGUGGCAGGAGAAGUCCCAGAGUUCAAAUUUGGGGCACUAAUAAAGAAAACUCUUUGAAAACCACCAAGGGGAUGAAAAUAAAAUGAAUAAUCAAUUGCAAAAGCCCAAUCUCUGGUUUGAUUGAAGGAGAAAGAUGGAAAGUUAAAUGACAAUCAAAUGCAAAUACAGCUCAACAAACACCACAGCAAUUACCAGGCGCAGGAACCACAUGGUGCUUGCAGGCAGCGGGGGUUGGCAAUUUGGAAGCCUGAUCUGUCCAGAGGCAUUGGGUUUAUGGUGCUGCUCUGGGGCUGGGAACCUGGUGCCAGGUUGAUGGCCAUGUGGUGAGAGAGUGAGUCACCAGGUGGGGUGAGUUCCUGAGAAAGAGGGAAGAGGCCCUGGGUGCAUCCUGUGGGCUGCCCCUGGCAGGUGGGCAUC